rnacentral:rRNA from 1 species
AUACGUAGGUGGCAAGCGUUGUCCGGAUUUAUUGGGCGUAAAGCGAGCGCAGGCGGUUUCUUAAGUCUGAUGUGAAAGCCCCCGGCUCAACCGGGGAGGGUCAUUGGAAACUGGGGGACUUGAGUGCAGAAGAGGAGAGUGGAAUUCCAUGUGUAGCGGUGAAAUGCGUAUAUAUAUGGGGGAACACAAGUGGCGAAGGCGACUCUCUGGUCUGUAACGGACGCUGAGGCUCGAAAGCUUGGGGAGCAAACAGGAUUUGAUGCCCGGGUAGUCCACGCCGUAAACGAUGAGUGCUAAGUGUUGGAGGGUUUCCGCCCUUCAGUGCUGCAGCUAACGCAUUAAGCACUCCGCCUGGGGAGUACGACCGCAAGGUUGAAACUCAAAGGAAUUGACGGGG